CUUUAAAGAAAAUUGGGAUAAAAUAGGAGACCAGGCAUUGCUUCUCCCUUUUACGAGAAUAUGAGGACAUUAUUUCGGAAAAUGUCGGAAAACUAAGACGAUUUGCACCAGCUCCGUAGAUCCAUCACUGUAAUAUUCCAGGCCAGGCCUAGCUAUUCCCAAAUGUUGGACUAAUGGAUUCAUUCAAGCAGCAAGUUAAUCCAUCAUUUAAGGAAAAUGAAUUCAUUUUAUCCACAAGAACAUGAAGUGAUGGAAAUGAUUUGCACCUGCCCAACAUUCCUACAGUCUGUCA